rnacentral:tRNA from 1 species
GCGGGUAUGGUUUAAUGGUAGAACAGCUGGUUGCCAAUCAGCUGACGGCGGUUCGAUUCCGCCUACCCGCACCA